AUUCCCUGUAAAGCAAACAAGUAGGAAUUGUUGAUGUAAGAUAGAUGUUUGGGGUCAUGCCAGCACUAUAAUUACCCAGUGACAGGGUGUUAGGAAUUAGGGAUAUGGGAGAUGGCAGAAAGAGCUGGCAGCCGUGGAGGACAGGAGUGCAGCUGGGCCAGGCACUUCAGCAGUGGAUGAGGGGAAAAGCAGAGAUCAAGGUAAGGCAGUGCAGUGUAUGACACAAAGCAUGAUUGGUAUGUUCUCAGUUGUAAUACAGUAAAAUCUCAGGGGUGUCUUCAUUUUUUUCCCUUUCUUUUUGACUGCACUGUGAUUUGGGGAAUGGAGGUUGAUUCGUAACAGACUAUUUUUUUUCCAACAAUCCAGUGAGAAAAUGACAGCAAAACUAGGCUGUAGCAUCUGUGUUGGAAACAAAUUAAAUCCAAGAUUAAAGUCUGAUUUUGUGAAGACAAAAACAAACAACUGAUAGGUGGAAUGUUUAGAAGUGUUUAUCCGUAGUUUUAAUUCUCCUGACAGGGAAAAAAAAAUCUGGCACGUCACUUCAUGGCUUUCAUCAGCUUAUGAGAUUGUACUACUCUGAUAAAUAUAAUCAUAAUUUGCUCUUACUAAUUAUUUUAAUGAGUGGAAAUUCUGUGUGGCUGUUGCUUACAGCACACAAAGUGCCAUAACUAAUCAAAGGGAGAAGGAAAGGUAUAAAAAGAUGGAGAAAGUGCGAAUAAAUUUAGGUCCAUUAAGAGUUACAUUUGAGGGAAUGAGUUGCAAAAGUAGAAAUAAUUGAGAGCACUUUGGAAUUGCAAAGUGUAAAAAGUGGGGACAAAGGGUACUACAGGUGUUGGAAUGAAAAUAAUGUUUCUGAGAACACUUUUUAUAUUUUGUGUGCAUGUUUAAUGGAGAAGGGAGACUGGAAGUAAAAUAAGAGAUGAAAAAGAUCCAUUACCAUCUAUGGGGCCUAAGAGAAUCAGAUAAAAUAAUAAACUGAGCAGUGGAUACAUUUCUCUGAUGUUCUAAGUAUUUAUAAUAACAUAAUAAUAUAAUAUAACUGUGUCAUUUAAACUGUAAGCCACUGGCAUAUAAUGUUUUCCUGAACCCUUCUUCAUCCCCUGGAGAAGUCCCACUGGGCCAGGCUCACGCAAUGCGAUGAGAAAAGUAGCUGGCAAUGGUAGGUGCCUUUCUAGUUCUCUCUGGCACUGCCAGAUGGCUCAUGCAGCAGCUGAGCUGUACCCACUGCUCAGGCAGGACAUCCAUCUGACCCUUCCUUCUCUGCGUGAGUGCCAGCUCAGUGGAGCUGCGUGGGUGUAGUUAUCCCUCAGGCUUUUCAGCUCCUAUUUCAAAUUGCCUGAUGAGUUCAGAAGUUAUCAGGGGCAGAGUCAAAGGCCAAGAUGAAACUACAGAAAGCAGCUGCAUUCUGAAAUGAGGAUACAAUUAUUGUAUGGGUAUUUUCUGAGGUGUCUGCUGCUUACCAGAAAGUGUCCGUCCCAGAACUGUGGAAAGCAGCAGGUGGGUGAGGAGUUGGUGUGAAGUGCUUGGCUGCUGUGCUCGGAGGAGGAGGAGAAAGGGGAGGAGGAGGAGGGAAGUGUCAGCUCCUGCUUCGUUUCUGCGAACGCUGUCACAGUGGAACAGGCGAGCACCUCGCAGCCAUGUUAGUGGAUGUGAGCAGUCUGCACAGUCACUCCCUGCUGAAGCUGAUGGAGCCUGGCCAGCCAGCAGCCAACACAGCAUUUGCAGCUACCUGAUAGAAACCAUCCUGCUGAGAGAUCGCAGCUGUAGGAGCAAGAUAGAGCUUGGGAGAAAGCAAGGCAGGCUCAAACACUGAGCAGUUGUGGAUCUUUAGAGCCCAGCUGUCCCACACAGGCCUUCUCUCAUUUUUAUUCCAGCAACUGACAUCAAGGGCAUGCUUUUUCUAGCAGUGUCUCUUGUCCAAACCCUUCCAGAUGGCUGUAUUUCUGCAAAACAAAGCAGAGUUCCUGGAGAUUUGUAAGGGCAUAUUCCAUAUGCAGAGCUCUAGUGUUUUAUGAGGCUUUAUUGCAAGUUGUAGCAAAAUGCUCUCAGUUAGGUGGUCCCCAGCUCUGAAGUCUGUUUUUUUGUCCUGCAUUGAUGCUUCUUGAAAAGGAAACUCAGAUGUUUCUAAAUGUUACAAUACAUGCAGAAAUAUUUUUCUUUCUCAACUGAAGGGGAUAAUCACAUUUUGUCAAAACUAAAAUGUAUUUAAAAUGGCUAAGUAAAAAUCUUUCUGAAUAACUGUUUAUUUGGAAUAUCUCCAGUAGGUAAGAAUUCUUUCUUCUGUACUUUUUUUAUCAGGGAUCACGUGUCUAUUGUCUUAACUUUCUCCUGCCAAAAGACUAUUUGUUAAGCAUCCAGUGGAAUUAAUUUACUGUUUAAUAAAAUGUAUCACUCUUA